rnacentral:rRNA from 1 species
GGCAUCGAGGAUAGAUGAAAGGUGGCCUCUACAUGUAAGCUAUCACUGAAGGAGGGGAUUGCGUCUGAUUAGCUAGUUGGAGGGGUAACGGCCCACCAAGGCGAUGAUCAGUAGCCGGUCUGAGAGGAUGAACGGCCACAUUGGGACUGAGACACGGCCCAGACUCCUACGGGAGGCAGCAGUGGGGAAUCUUCCGCAAUGGACGAAAGUCUGACGGAGCAACGCCGCGUGAGUGAUGACGGCCUUUCGGGUUGUAAAGCUCUGUUAAUCGGGACGAAAGGCCUUCGUGCGAAUAGUGAGAAGGAUUGACGUACCCGAAUAGAAACCACGCUAACUA